AAGGGAACUACAGGUGUUCCUGAAACGUGUCUUUGUUAGAACAGGGCGGAUGGAUGAGCACAGCCCUCUCAGCGCAGGGCUGACACCACUUUGCCCCUUAUAAGAAAUACAACACAAAUAUAUUAGGACAGGUUACUAAACCAGGCUUACAGGUAAAAGGUGUUUCAUUUAGUAAAAGCUGAUGAUCCACUUCUCAAAUAAUCUCUAAGGAUCUGAAGGAAGACAUGCAAAUAUCUCUGCUCAUUAUUAGGCUAAAAGUGUGAUAUAGACAAUUAUAUAUUUUAGCAGCAUCCCCAUAAGGCAUAUCACAGCCCUGCACACCAGCACAGUGCUUAUAUUAUGCUUCAAUCAAGAUAUAGUUAUGAUUUAACCACAUUAGCUCAACGAGGUCACAAAAAUAUCCCACAAUACCAGAAAUGACAUGCUCAGCACUACAUAACCCACAUGGAAAAGAAACAGUAAAAACUUACAUGAUUUACUCAUGAAAGUGGCCACUUUCUCAUUACUUUCAUUUAUUGUUUUAGUAUCCAAAACACACAAGUUUCAUUUAUAUAAUUUUUCAAGGGAUCUUAUAUCUGUUUUCACUCUUGUAUGCUUUUCAUACAAGUUUCACACAAGACAGAUACAAACUUUAUAAGAGUUAUAUUUAUCUUUUCCAUGUGGGUAAAUUUUCAACAAAAGUUGGACUUCAGUCUGUUAACCACCAAAUUAGUCUAUCCUGGUCAGCUAGCUAAAAGUCUGUACUUUAGCAGCCUAAAUCAGAGGCUAACAUUAGCAUUUGCUAGCACGAGCCAGGAUAGUCUGAGGCUAAAACGAGAGUUUGUGUAACUUUUCCUGAAACCCUUUAAAGUGUACAGUAAAGGCAACCGUGGAGCAUAAGUAUUAUUAUGGAAGUUUUUAUAGUCCUAAAAUUAUUUCUUCCUCUCUAUACAUCAGUAGAACCAUGAAGUUUUCACUUUUCCCAGUUAUGGGGCGACCGUGGCUCAGGGGGUUGAGAAGCGUAUCUGUAACCGGAAGGUCACCGGUUCGAUCCCCGGGCUCUCUGUCCAGGUCAUUGUGUCUCUGGGCAAGACACUUCACCUACCGCCUACUGGUGUUGGCCAGAGGGGCCGAUGGCGCGAUAUGGCAACCUGCCCCAGGACAGCUGUGGCUACAACCAUAGCUGCCUCCACCAGUGUAUGAAUGUGAGAGUGAAUGAAUAGUGGCAUUUGGGUGCCUUGAAAAGGGCUAUAUAAAUGCAAUCCAUUAUUAUUAUCUACAUGGCUGACUUUAGCUAGUUAGCUAGCUAGCAGUCAGAGCUGUGCAAAGCCCAGAGAGAAGCAGACAACUAAAUAUCCGGCAGUGUUGCCAACUCCUCCAAGGGCGUAGAUUUGGUUGUGGCAUUGGUGGGGACGGAUGAUUCAACCACCGAACCCUGCCCUGUUUCUUUUGUUCCCCUUUUUGUCUUUGCUUCUUGAUAAAAGGAGAAGUAUACUUGCCUACAUAUGCUAUUCUACCUGCUUUUAAACCAUUUAAAAUUACAAUUCAUAGUUUUAUAUGUGAAUUAUAUAAUGUUAAAUUACUAUUAAACAAAUGACUGACUAAGUAUUUUAGGCUUUAGUUUACCUUCAGCCAUAUUCCAUAUAAUUCAGGUAUCAUACAAAAAUAGCUUCAAAUACAGUCAUGACAAUAAAAGAAUAUGACUUUAAGGACUUAACAACAUUACUUCAGUCAUUCCGUGAGGACUACCCGCUGCCUGUGAGCGCUUUGGCACGGGCGAGGUGCCCACCUGUUGCCCACCUGCACCUGUGGCAGCACCUGUUGCUUGUUGAGAGUAAGAGCGAUAUGUGUCAUCAUAAGUCUCCAAUAACACCAGAAAAAGUCACCAGAUUUGUUGUUAGUUGCUUCUUAGAAAAAAGUGGCUAAGGGGGUCUGAAACUCACUAAAUAUAGCGACAAACUCGCUAAGCUGGCAACACUGCUAUCUGGUCUUUAAGUGAUGAUGAGCCUGCUUCCAGGUCCAACCUAUGGUGUGUUUAUUAUUGUGUUUUUAACAUGUUUUGUAUUUUGUUCUAUUUAAUCUGAACAAGCCCCUAAAAACAGUCAGUGAUCACUGUCGGCCUCUCUUGGUUUUUACCACCACUGUUCAUUUUAAAGCUCAGUUUUAAACCCUUACGAUGUAACUACAGCCCAUGCAGCAGUAUAUGAAUGACUAACCUCGUAUUGUGGAUGGAUUAUCUCAGUUGUUCUCCUGGCUGAAGUUUACAGCAUCCUGCCAUGCGAUUGCAUUUGUCUCUAACCAUCAGGAACCCUCAUGUUAACUUUUAUUGAGUGGAAAAAAGUUAGCGUUCAUCCUCCAGCUUCACUGUGCUAUAUCAUGCUAUAUCAACUUCCUGCUAUCUUCUAAAUCCGUUAAACUUCAUAAAGUCUGUUUUCAUGGAUGUUAAACUUAAUUGUUACACUGAUCAUUUCAUUAAAGAUGAAAGAAUUUAGACAGUUUUUAACUCUCGGUGAUCGUUUGAUGUUGGGACCAGAAGCGGAGUUUGGAUGGAGAAACAGCAAAUGACCUCAGACUUAAAGACCAGAUGGUAUUCAUGAAAACUGCUCCAGCCACUGGAAGCCAAACCGAGUAUCAUAGCGAAAGAUAAUUAACUAAAAUGGAAAGUUUAUGUCAUGUUAAACCUAAAUAACAACUCUUUUCAAAGUAAGUCAGCAACAUAUUCCUGACUUAUCUGGAUACAGUGGACACCAUUUAACAAAUAAAUUAACAAUUCUUUCUAAACAAAAUCACUGAGUGUUUUGAAAAACAUUAUCUUAAUAAAAAAAAUCUAAAAGUUUAAUAUUUACCACAGAAAUGUGAAGGCAGCUUCUCCAACUCCAGAGUCUAAAACCUAAAUGAAGCCUUAAAAAAGUCUAAUGUCUGCUCUUGCUCUUAUUUUGCCCUCCUUUUGGGGUUCUUGCUCCCACAAUGCACUGCAAUAGUUAAGAAGUACAGAAAAAUACCUGUAAAUGACCAGUGAUGGGAAUAACAGCGUUACAAGUAACGGCGUUACUUUUUUAGUAACGACGUAUCUAACUAAUUACUAUCCCUAUCGUUACAACACCGUUACAGAAAAUGCAGUCCGUUACUAUUUUUCAACAAACAGACGGUUGAAGCUGUGUUCAGUUUACCGCAUCUUGUAUCAGUUGCAGGAAGUAGCUGUAAGUAAUCUGGGCGCUGCAGCUUUAAGCAGCUGCGCUCUCGCGGGCGGCGAUCACUUUCUGGCCGACGACCACUUUUUGGCACAACACCUGGAGCUCAGGGGGCAAAACAAUCGCACGAGUGCUGCUGUUUGACUGAGGAAGAAUAAAGUAGUCGUGGUCAAUCACAUGACCACUUCAAGACAAAGCAACAAGGUGACAUAUACCAGUUUAUAAACUGUGCUGAUAGGCCAGUAAAACCAGAGUCAUGAUAAACAAGAUAUACGCGCUGUUUUUUCUCAAUAGUUUCAUCACGUUUACUGUCUAAGGACAGCAGCGAGACCUCUCUGCUUAUGAGCAAAAAAAACCACAACAAAAAACAGCCCGUUGGUGUUGGUGGAAAAAUGCACCAUGUCGACCAAUCAAAAAAUGAUAUGGCAACAUGACGUUUGGUUGUUUAGGAAGAGGGGGAAGAUUUAGGAGUGACGGCAAGAGAGAGAGAGAGAUUUGUGACGUUUAGCGUGUUUGGAGUGUGUAGUUAAUGUGCUGUCUUGUGUAGUUAAUGUGUUGUCUUGUGUAGUUAAUGUGCUGUCUUGUGUAGUUAAUGUGUUGUCUUGUGUAGUUAAUGUGCUGUCUUGUGUAGUUAAUGUGUUGUCUUGUGUAGUUAAUGUGUUGUCUUGUGUAGUUAAUGUGUUGUCUUGUGUAGUUAAUGUGUUGUCUUGUGUAGUUAGUGUGUUGUGGAUAGUUUGGUGUUGUGUGUCAGAACAAUGAGGCGGCUGCUGUCUCCAGGUAGAAACAGCAGUGACACACCUGCUGCUGUCAGACCUGCAGGUAUCAGGCUGUGAUGUUUCCUUUAUAGUGGACAGAAAUAUUUGGAGUGGCACAAAUAAUUUGUGGCAUCUUAUUGAAGAACAGCUGAUUGUUCUGUAAACAGUUUGAAAUGGUUAUUAAAAAAGGGUAAAAGGUAAAUGGCUGCAAAUAACUUUGUUGUUUGGAAAACUUGUGCAUAUAAAUUACAAUUGACGAUUUAUAUUUGCAUUUAAAGUUAUGAAAUAUGAUUCAUUAAACAUGUUUGUGGUUGUUACAGUAAAAAUAUAACUUCUUCUACUCUGAUUUGAUGUUUUUUUAUCUGAUUUUAGAUCAAUUGUGUUAAUACAGUCAAAAUUAAAACAUGACUGUAGAUUCAGACACGUGAGGUUGUGCUGAAAACAAUGAGACCAAACAAGACAAAUAAACAGUUUUUAAAGUGAAAUGUGGAGGAAACAUCAAAAGUAGUCAAAAAUGGACAUUAAUACCCUGGACCCCAGAGCGUUAAACUGUUUUUUAAAGUAACACAAUAGUUACUUUUCAAGUAAUUGAUUACUUUUAGAAUCUGGUAACUCAGUUACUAAGUCAGUUACUUUUUUGAAGAAGUAACUAGUAACUAUAAUUAAUUAUUUUUUCAAAGUAACUUGCCCAACACUGCUAAUGACUAAUACGGGAAGCACAGCAUUAGACGGGCCGACCUUUUUCUGGCUGUAAUAAGAAGAU
ensembl:lncRNA